rnacentral:rRNA from 1 species
CUUCGUCGCCUUCAAAGAAUGCGCACUGCCAAUACCCUCGACCGAAGGUCGAAGUUUUGAGAAAUACUUUGCCUUUGCCCAAUUGAUCGAACAAGUCCGCAAUGAGCGGGAUGGGAUACUUGUUCUUCACCGCUACUUUGUUGAGGGCUCGAUAGUCGACGAUAAUCGGAGACUCCCAUCUUGUUUCUUCCGAAGAGAACCGGAGCUCCGAAAGGUGCUUUUGAGCUGCGGAUGAGACCACCGCCAGCAGUUCACCUAACUGCUUUCUGAGUUCUGCCAACUCGGGGGGGGCAUGCGAUAGGGUGGUCUCACCGAGGCUUCACUCUGGCUCCAGCUCGAUAUCGUGAUCCACGCCUCUGCGUGGUGGAAGGGUCUUCGGCCUUCGGUGGCAUAACGCCUUUGAACUCGUUCAGACGUUCGCCACCAACAGGUUCUUGAAUGGCCUCUUCAUUGAGUGGCUCUAGCUUCAUAGCAGCCACGAAUGUCGGUCGCCCUUUCGCACCCCUUUCUUCAAUUGUAAUGCCGAAAUGUGUUGGGGCUCCUCGGUUCCUCUCCCGAGAGACGGAACCACGCAGGGUCAUCACCUCCCAUCAUACAUAGGGAGUUCAAGAACGGCAUCGGCACCAACUUCACCAGAUGCAUAUACUCCAUUCCAAGAAUCACUUGAAGUCGCCCAGAUGGCACGGCCAUCAUGUUGGUGUUUUCCGCUCCAAGUCCCGGGAUUUUGAUAGGAACACCCUUCGCCAACCCGAGAUUCGCUUUGGCCUCGAAGUUCACCGCCUUUCAUUCGACUUGGGCAAUUCUCCAAGGUCAACCUAAGUCGUUGUGCUUCGCGAUCGGCUAUGAAGUUGUGGGUAGCGCCCAUAUCCACCAUUGCACGGGGUCGCUUGGCCAUUUAGCUUAAUAUCCACAUACAUCAGCUCGCCCUUCCUCACUUUUUUGUGCCUUCGUCUUCAUAUUCUCCCCACUUGACCCCGCAUAGCGCUCAACAGACGACAUUACUCCCAUUCGGGUCCUUGCGACUCCUCAUCGUCAUUUGCUGAAUUCUGAACUGCUCUAACUAAGAGCAACAGCUUUGCCCUUUGUCCGACGGGGAGGGUGGAUGGAAGCCGUCAACGCGUUGAGUGCCUCGCUUUCAGGGCACUCCCUUACCAUGUCGCGGUCCUCCACAAGAAGCAUCCUCCAGUUUUUGAGGCCUUGCCUUUUGGGUUCGGCCCUUUAUGGGAGCUCUUCUUCUUUGUUCGCCCCCCGCUCCUUCCCUCGAGAAUGUUUUGGAGGGCUUAUUGCUUGAAGAUUGUUUCCUUCUCACCGGGUCUUCCGAGGAAAAAAAGUUGGUGAGCCUUUCUGCAGCAGCGAUUGCCCCACUACAUCGGUAACAUUCCUUCCGAUUUAGCUCCUGCUGAACCCAUGGUUUCAAACCAUCGAGGAAGCUGAACAACUUGUCCUUCUCGGACAUGUCCUGUAUGUCCAAAGAUUAGUGCAGAAAACUGUUUCACAUAGUCUCGGAUGGUGGUGCUUUUGGCGGAGUUGUCUCAACUUCCUUCUUGCAUUUAACUCUAUGUUCUCCUAAGGAACCGAGUUCUCAACUCCCGCUUCAAGUCCUCCCAUGUGUCGACUCGACACCGACCUUGUUGGAUCUCUUCCCAACGAGUUCGCCACCAAAGUUUCGCAUCUCCGUUCAGAUACAUCGUUGCUAUAGAAACUUUGGUAUCUUCAGAAUCGGGCCUCGUGGCUCGGAAGUAUUGUUCCAUGUGAUGGUCCCCGCGGAUGCUCACGCAAUGUGAUUUCUGCCCAAUGCUCUGAAUGUCAAAGUGAAGAAAUUCAACCAAGCGCGGGUAAACGGCGGGAGUAACUAUGACUCUCUUAAGGUAGCCAAAUGCCUCGUCAUCUAAUUAGUGAUGCACAUGAAUGGAUUAACGAGAUUCCCACUGUCCCCGUCUACUAUCCAAAUAAAACAACGACCAAGGGAACGGGCUUGGCGUAAUCAGCCGGGAAAGAAGACCCUAUUGAGCUUGACUCUAGUCCGACUUUGUGAAAUGACUUGAGAGGUGUAGGAUAAGUGGGAGCCGGUUCACGGGCGAAGUGAAAUACCACUACUUUUAACGUUAUUUUACUUAUUCCGUGAGUCGGAGGUGGGGCCCGCCCCUCCUUUUUUUCGACCCAAGGCCCGCUUAGCGGGCCGAUCCGGCGGAAGACAUUGUCGGUGGGGAGUUUGGCUGGGGUGGCACAUCUGUUAAAAGAUAACGCAGGUGUCCUAAGAUGAGCUCAACGAGAACAGAAAUCUCGUGGGAACAAAAAGGGUAAAAGCUCGUUUGAUUCUCGAUUUCCGAUGCAUGAAUCUGAACCGUGAAAGCAUGGCCUAUCGAUCCUUUAGACCUUCGGAAUUUGAAGCUAGAGGUGUCAGAAAAGUUACCACAGGGAUAACUGGCUUGUGGAAGCCAAGCGUUCAUAGCGACGUUGCUUUUUGAUCCUUCGAUGUCGGCUCUUCCUAUCAUUGUGAAGCAGAAUUCACCAAGUGUUGGAUUGUUCACCCACCAAUAGGGAACGUGAGCUGGGUUUAGACCGUCGUGAGACAGGUUAGUUUUACCCUACUGAUGAUCGUGUCGCGAUAGUAAUUCAACCUAGUACGAGAGGAACCAUUGAUUCACACAAUUGGUCAUCGCGCUUGGUUGAAAAAGCCGAUGGCGCCGGUUACCUGCGGUGUCGGAUUAUGACCAACGCCUCUAAGUCAGAAUCCUAGCUAGCAACCGGGCGCCUCGCCCGUCGUUAAACCUCCCCGACCCACAGUAGGGGCCUUUGGCCCCAUGGGCUCAUGUCGCCGUGUAGCCCUCGUGGUGGUAUAGCCACGGGCGCCAUCGGAAGUGAAAUUCCACGGACGACGGGCGAAUCCUUUGCAGACGACUUAAAUACGCGAUGGGGCAUUGUAAGUGGUAGAGUGGCCUUGCUGCCACGAUCCACUGAGAUCCAGCCCAGCGUCGCACGGAUUCGUCCCCCUCUCCCCCC